AUUCGAAAUUUAAUUUUAUUUCACAAUGUUCCUUCGUCUAGUAUGAACGCCAAAACCGGCAUUUUGUCUUCCUUCCUCUGUUCUUCUUCCUCCUUCCUCCAUAUAUAAAUACAAAACUCCCGGCAAGAAGAAGGAGAAACAGAGUAAAAAUUAUUUUCCAUCAGAAAACAGAUUUCACAAUCUCCCUCUGUAAUUCAUCACAAAGCAAAAAACAGAGACAAAAACUCCAUCCAGAGAGAGCUCUACCGCAACAGCGAAGAAGAAGACGAAGAUUUAGAGAACUGAUUGAUUGCUUUUUCCUUUCUUCUGAUUGAAUCGAUGGGUUCAAUGGCGAUGCCGACCCAGGAGAGAUCCAAGCCACUCCACAACUUCUCCCUCCCUUGUUUGAAAUGGGGAACCCAGCGAGUCCUCCGCUGCGUCAAAAUCCCUCCUCCUCCUCCUCCUCCCCCGCCGCCUCAUCAUCACCGGCAACCACCCGCCGNNNNNN
rnacentral:lncRNA from 1 species